rnacentral:hammerhead_ribozyme from 1 species
AUCCAGCUGACGAGUCCCAAAUAGGCCGAAACGCUCGUCCUGGAU